UGCUGGCUUCGGCAGUACUAUACUAAACAGGGACGGUACAGAAAAAGAUUAGCACGGCCCUUGCACAAGAAUGCCACACAAACUCGUGAAGCGUUCAGUAUUUUG